rnacentral:rRNA from 1 species
UGGCCGGACAAGUCCGUUGGGAAAUCCACUCGCUCAACGAGUGGGCGUCCGGUGGAUACUGUUCGGCUUGGGGCCGGAAGACCUGAGGGGUACGUCCGGGGUAGGAGUGAAAUCCCGUAAUCCUGGACGGACCACCGGUGGCGAAAGCGCCUCAGGAAGACGGACCCGACGGUGAGGGACGAAAGCUAGGGUCACGAACCGGAUUAGAUACCCGGGUAGUCCUAGCUGUAAACGAUGCCCGCUAAGUAUGGCACACACUACGAGUAUGUGCUGUGCUGUAGUGAAGACGUGAAGCGGGCCGCCUGGGAA